AUUGAACGCUGGCGGCAUGCCUUACACAUGCAAGUCGAACGGCAGCACGGGUGCUUGCACCUGGUGGCGAGUGGCGAACGGGUGAGUAAUAUAUCGGAACGUACCUUAUUGUGGGGGAUAACGCAGCGAAAGCUGUGCUAAUACCGCAUAAUCCCUAAGGGGGAAAGCGGGGGACCGUAAGGCCUCGCGCAAUUAGAGCGGCCGAUACCUGAUUAGCUAGUUGGUGAGGUAAAGGCUCACCAAGGCAACGAUCAGUAGCUGGUUUGAGAGGACGGCCAGCCACACUGGGACUGAGACACGGCCCAGACUCCUACGGGAGGCAGCAGUGGGGAAUUUUGGACAAUGGGGGCAACCCUGAUCCAGAAAUGCCGCGUUAGUGAAGAAGGCCUUCGGGUUGUAAAGCUCUUUUGUCAGGGAAGAAACAGCAGCUCUAACACAGUUUGCGAAUGACGGUACCUGAAGAAUAAGCACCGGCUAACUACGUGCCAGCCGCCGCCGUAA
rnacentral:rRNA from 1 species